rnacentral:rRNA from 1 species
AUGAACGCUGGCGGCGUGCCUAAUACAUGCAAGUCGAGCGAACAGAUGAGGAGCUUGCUCCUCUGACGUUAGCGGCGGACGGGUGAGUAACACGUGGAUAACCUACCUAUAAGACUGGGAUAACUUCGGGAAACCGGAGCUAAUACCGGAUAAUAUAUUGAACCGCAUGGUUCAAUAGUGAAAGACGGUUUUGCUGUCACUUAUAGAUGGAUCCGCGCCGCAUUAGCUAGUUGGUAAGGUAACGGCUUACCAAGGCAACGAUGCGUAGCCGACCUGAGAGGGUGAUCGGCCACACUGGAACUGAGACACGGUCCAGACUCCUACGGGAAGCAGCAGUAGGGAAUCUUCCGCAAUGGGCGAAAGCUUGACGGAGCAACGCCGCGUGAGUGAUGAAGGUCUUCGGAUCGUAAAACUCUGUUAUUAGGGAAGAACAAAUGUGUAAGUAACUAUGCACGUCUUGACGGUACCUAAUGAGAAAGCCACGGCUAACUACGUG